rnacentral:rRNA from 1 species
UACGUAGGGGGCGAGCGUUGUCCGGAAUCAUUGGGCGUAAAGCGCGUGUAGGCGGCUUGGUAAGUCCGGUGUGAAACCUUGGGGCUCAACCCCAAGCCUGCACUGGAUACUGCCUCGCUUGAGUCCGGGAGGGGAGAGCGGAAUUCCUAGUGUAGCGGUGAAAUGCGCAGAUAUCAGGAGGAACACCAAUGGCGAAGGCAGCUCGCUGGAACGGUACUGACGCUGAGGCGCGAAAGCGUGGGGAGCGAACAGG